rnacentral:rRNA from 1 species
UACGUAGGGGGCAAGCGUUGUCCGGAAUUAUUGGGCGUAAAGAGCGUGUAGGCGGCUAGGUAAGUCCGUUGUGAAAACUCGAGGCUCAACCUCGAGACGGCGGUGGAAACUAUCUGGCUAGAGUCCGGAAGAGGAGAGUGGAAUUCCUGGUGUAGCGGUGAAAUGCGCAGAUAUCAGGAAGAACACCGGUGGCGAAGGCGGGUCUCUGGGCCGGUACUGACGCUGAGGCGCGAAAGCGUGGGGAGCGAACAGG